GGCUCCAGGCUCUGAGCCAUCAGCCCAGAGCCCGACGCGGGGCUCGAAUUCACGGACCGCGAGAUCGUGACCUGAGCUGAAGUCGGCCGCCCAACCGACUGAGCCACCCAGGUGCCCCUAGUGACUACCAUUUGUUGAGUGCCCACCCCGCUUGGUCUGUUUGCACACAGUGCAACAACAAUCCAGCAAGGACCUACACCGCACCCCCCACCCCUUACACCUGCCUGAUCGCCCAGAUAAUGUCUGUCCUUCUUCGAAAGGCCAAGGAGUGAAUGAUGUCUCUGGAGUCUUCCAUGCAAUAAAUAACAUCUAAGGAGUAACCUGGCGAGGUCAUCACGAACAUUUUCCAAGACCACUGACUCGUCAAGACCCCUGGCUCCAGGGCACAAGUGACUUACAGAGGAUACCCAAACACUCCUCUUUGUUCCUGAAUUACUGAGAAGACAGGUGCAUGGGAUCACCAUCCUCAACAAAAAGCCCAGACCCCAAGCAAAGACAAGACUCACUCUCCUAUCUUUCAGAGUCUCCCUGACACUCUAUGUCUACACUUUCUCCAUAUCUUUAAUAAACUGCUCCCACUUCU